rnacentral:snoRNA from 1 species
AAGACUCUACUUUCAGGGAUCCUUUCUUUAGUCUGGAACUAGAGGAUUGUGUUUCUACAGAGGUUGGUCUGGCUGUCCAUGAUGAUGAUGAUGAAUGAAGAUGUUUCCUUCAGAGCAGGAAGCUGGUGAGAAAAUGAGAAUCUUCUUCACUGAUGAAGACUGUUCAGUGUUUCUGGAUGUGACACUGAAGGAGGAAACAUUGUCUGAGUGGA